CAUUUGUUAUUAUUUUUAUUGUCGCUUUUCAUGUGUCUUUCCUGUUUCAUCCAGUUUCAAAUCACAAUGAUGCUAAAAAUGUUUAUUACUUCAAAAUGAUUCCCACAAAAUGUUUCCAGCUUCACUGCUUCCUUAACUAAUUCGUAACAUAUUAUGUCGACAGCAUCGUUGUUUUUCAUUUCGGAUAAUACCGGGGCAACAAAAAGUUUGACCAAGAAUGAAGAUCGUGUUUUCAUGGGCCAUUUAUUGUAUUGUGUACCGACUGUACCCUCCUUCAAAUCAGAACCCAUACGUUCUUAGCCAUCGAAAACAGGCAGAGAGGUGUUGAGAUAAUGAUGUUGGAGAAGAAGACGAAAUAACCCUUGAUUUAAAAUAUUAGUAAUUAAAAAUUGCUAAAUACUGA